UACACCAGUGUUAGCUGUGUUGGAUGUUCUGACACGCUGUACGACAAACCCGAAAAGCAUCCCCAAUUCUUGGUAAAACUUUCGUAGUAGGACCGACCGCAUCAUUACGCUCUACUCGUCCACCUCUCGAAGCUCACCCAAAAAAGACUUAAAUAUGCAUUCUACCCACCUGGCUGUGGAUUCUGUUAGGACUGUCUGGUCUUGUCUCGAUACCUGCACCGCUAGUUGUUCCAAAUGGGUCUGUCACAUGUGACAACCACGUUCACCGUGUAAGACUUCUUGCGAUUCCUCUCGGAUCCGGGCGACUUUUACUCAAUGCGGAGCCGUCACGUGGUGGUCUGGCCUGUGGUACAGGGAGUACCUACUCACAACACCUCUUCCGGAACACGUACACGACUUCUUCCGAUUCCUCUCGAACCAAGGGGACAUGUGCUUCUUCUCACUGAAGGUUCGACUUAAGGUGUUCCAACAGUUGGUGUACAAUUCUUCUGCUCAAACCCUCCCGUACCCUAUACGACGACCUAUUCAUGUUGUACUCCUUCGUGGGUAUGUACUGAAUCUGGAUGCUUUAGUCUUACUUCACCCGUUUUGGUAUGAACUUUCCACAAGAAACGCGGUUCUACUGUUUGUGUGUUCUGUUGCUCUCGCGCCUAGUGUACAACUUCUGUAGAGGACGAUCGGGCUACGUGUAAAAGCAAUCCGUCAUGUACUCCAACGUCUAACUGGUACUCGCACUCCUUUCGAUACUCCUCUUCUCCUGGUACUAACCACCUCGACAAUCCUCUUGAUUAAACCAUUGUUUUGCCGUACGUUCGUUUUAAACGUGAUCCCGAUACAAACUCCUCAAGCCAGCAGAUGAUUAACUUCCUUACCGAUGUUACAGUGGCUCCAUCUCUUCUACUCCUCCAUACACUGUUGUUUGUUAUUACGUCGUUUUUCGCUCUUUACCUCGUCUCAACACAUGAUCCACUGGCAUUCACUCCUGGUCAGUCUCAAAUGCACGCUCAUACCUGUUAAGCUCGUGUGAUACUACUAUACGACGGUACACGAUUUCUAGUACCUAUAUGAAGUAGAUCUCCUCUAAGUACACUUCGUAUAACACUUUGCCACCUGGUUCCUACGCUCCCUGUAUGAAGGGUUCGUGGACUAAGUAAUGGUCUUCCUAGUAAGUCAGUUGUACAGAAAGUGGACGUCCAUGAGUUGUGAAAUAAACUUUCGAUACCUACAGCACGCCUACCCGGUACGUUCACGUCUUAGUAAGUUCCUACACAAACGACCAGACCUACGAAAAAAUCACUCACCGCGUGGUAAUCGUCUCUUCUCCUUGCCAAACCCAAGGCUCCUGUCGAACCGUUUGAACGGGCGACCCUCUAACGUACCUUUACCUCUCCAACGGAAACAACCACCGUUACUACGACUGGUAUCCCUAUCACCACCGGUUCCUGAUCGUGGAGGCCCGUUCGUCUCUCCCCGGCCCUCCGGCUGCUUGUCGUUCCCUUUUGCGGAACGCUCACAGACUCUUGCUCCCGAUCCAAGACAUCUUCCGGUGUUCACUUGGUGAACGGGCCUGUCCUCCGUAAGGGGGUUCUUUGGUGCUUGCGGCCCCUUUAUUUGACACCAUACCUUCCGGUUGCUGCGUUGUGUACGUGUUCCCACGACCCGGAACAACCUUUAACUCAACACUAUAAAUUCAAACACAAGACACAAGAACAAGCCGAACCUAAAAGAUCACACAAAGUCACUCGUAACGAGUUAUUACCAAUACAAGGCCGGUAUGUUACAACACCAAUAGACGUAGAAUUUUUACUGACUUAGAAGUACCCAACUAGGAAUGUCACGAUAGGAACGAACAUAACGACCGCUAUGAAGAGGUAGCACGGCCAAUAGUAACGUACGGUAACAACAUCUAAGUUUAGUUCUUCGGUGCUCCCGUGGAAAUUCUUUAACGUGGUAGCCUCCAGACUUCCGCCAGCGAGGCCGCCGCCUAAUAUCAAAGUCUGUCAACACCGAAGCACAUACCUCAGCCGCCGCUCGCGCACCUCGUCCUUGUUCGUUCGCCUCCAUCCGCCGGUCCAGCAGCUGCUCCACUUCACAGUUGAUAUCCACCUGCCGGCAAUGCUUCUGGCUCGCUCCUCUGCCGAGCCCGGGCGUGUCCUUUUAUUGACUCGGCAGGCUCUGGAACGACCAGGCGUGGAUGUCAUGCGCCCGGACCCGACCGGAAUAAAAUCAUGCUAUAUGUAAAUUUCUGUAAUAUUGACGCGUCAAAAGGAUGAGAGAGUGCGGUGAACGAAAAAGGUGGUGAGCUAAAAAUCAAAACACGCAAAGACCCGUAGGCUAAAGAAUGUCAGAGCGCACACGAAGCAAGCGACUAGCUCUCGCGAUUUACAUGGCCCGGCGACGAGGGCAUUGUUAAAACCAGGAAAGGAUAAUUUGACCCGGAUUACCCGAACUAUUGU
rnacentral:rRNA from 1 species